rnacentral:rRNA from 1 species
UACGAAGGGUCCUAGCGUUGUUCGGAAUCACUGGGCGUAAAGCGCAUGUAGGUGGCUUGAUAAGUCAGGUGUGAAAGCCUCGGGCUCAACCCGAGAAGUGCAUUUGAUACUGUUAAGCUUGAGUAUGUGAGAGGGUAGUAGAAUUCCUGGUGUAGUGGUGAAAUACGUAGAUAUCAGGAGGAAUACCGGUGGCGAAGGCGGCUACCUGGCACAAUACUGACACUGAGAUGCGAAAGCGUGGGGAUCAAAC